rnacentral:rRNA from 1 species
CACGUAGGGCGCAAGCGUUGUCCGGAAUUAUUGGGCGUAAAGAGCUCGUAGGCGGUUCGUCGCGUCGGCUGUGAAAACCCGGAGCUCAACUCCGGGCCUGCAGUCGAUACGGGCGGACUAGAGUUCGGCAGGGGAGACUGGAAUUCCUGGUGUAGCGGUGAAAUGCGCAGAUAUCAGGAGGAACACCAACGGCGAAAGCACUCUGCUGGGCCGACACUGACACUGAGAGACGAAAGCUAGGGGAGCGAAUGGG